rnacentral:rRNA from 1 species
ACUCCUACGGGAGGCAGCAGUGGGGAAUAUUGGACAAUGGGGAACCGUAGCAUCCAGCCAUGCCGCGUGUGUGAAGAAGGCCUUCGGGUUGUAAAGCACUUUCAGUGGGGAGAAAGGUUGUUGGGUUAAUACCUAACAGCUGUGACGUUACCCACAGAAGAAGCACCGGCUACUCCGUGCCAGCAGCCGCGGUAAUACGGAGGGUGCAAGCGUUAAUCGGAAUUACUGGGCGUAAAGCGUGCGCAGGCGGUCUGUUAAGCGAGAUUGUGAAAGCCCCGGGCUCAACCUGGGAACUGCAUUUCGAACUGGCAGAC